rnacentral:rRNA from 1 species
CGCGGCCUAUCAGCUUGUUGGUGGGGUAACGGCCUACCAAGGCAUCGACGGGUAGCUGGUCUGAGAGGACGGUCAGCCACACUGGGACUGAGACACGGCCCAGACAUCUACGGGUGGCAGCAGUAGGGAAUCUUGCGCAAUGGGCGAAAGCCUGACGCAGCAACGCCGCGUGUGGGAUGACAGCUUUCGGGUUGUAAACCACUUUCAGUGAUAACGAAAAUGACGGUAAUCACAGAAGAAGGCCCGGCCAACUACGUGCCAGCAGCCGCGGUAACACGUAGGGACCGAGCGUUGUCCGGAUUUAUUGGGCGUAAAGAGCUCGUAGGCGGUUUCGUAAGUCGGAUGUGAAAACUCAGGGCUCAACCCUGAGACGCCAUCCGAUACUGCGAUGACUAGAGUCCGGUAGGGGAGCAUGGAAUUCCUGGUGUAGCGGUGGAAUGCGCAGAUAUCAGGAGGAACACCAGUGGCGAAGGCGGUGCUCUGGGCCGGUACUGACGCUGAGGAGCGAAAGCAUGGGGAGCAAACAGGAUUAGAUACCCUGGUAGUCCAUGCCGUAAACGUUGGGUACUAGGUGUGGCGGGUUCAUCAAUGCCCGCCGUACCGAAGCUAACGCAUUAAGUACCCCGCCUGGGGAGUACGG